rnacentral:rRNA from 1 species
UACAGAGGUCCCAAGCGUUGUUCGGAUUCACUGGGCGUAAAGGGUGCGUAGGCGGUCGGGUAAGUCUGAUGUGAAAUCUCACAGCUUAACUGUGAAACUGCAUUGGAUACUAUCCGGCUAGAGGAAUGGAGGGGAGACUGGAAUACUUGGUGUAGCAGUGAAAUACGUAGAUAUCAAGUGGAACACCAGUGGCGAAGGCGAGUCUCUGGACAUUUCCUGACGCUGAGGCACGAAAGCCAGGGGAGCAAACGGG